rnacentral:miRNA from 1 species
UUCUGCUGGUAUGUAGCUCGUGCAGCGUUUUACUUCCUGCCGGUGACAACUGGCGGCGGCGGUGCGCGGCGGAGGUAUCUAACUAACUAGGCGGGUGUCAGGCCGUGUAGGGCAACUAUACAUCUUUGGCAAUGUCUUCUUCUUCCUCCUCCAUGGGAGGAUUGUAAUGGAGUGUG